rnacentral:lncRNA from 1 species
GUGCAGUUUUCUGAGCUGAUGUUUGCCUUUACGUGUAACUACUUUUGCAAAUGGAAAAUUGGAAACUGUACAAAAUAUGGAUCUCUGUACUGUACUGGAAUCUUGGUGCUACAGCUCAGGACUGAUGGAGAAAAUGCUGGGAAUGCACGUUUAAGGAAUAGAUUUAACAUAACAGUAGCAUAGGCUUACUGCACUAAAAUGAUUGGUCCGCACCAUUGAAAAGGAAGGUAGAAAUAUCCCUUAAAGCUACUUCUGCAAUGAACUGUUUUAAAAUAAAUAGUGCAGUAUAUCGCAGUGGUACAAUAUUUUCUACUGAACUGGUAGAAAGUUAGUAUGUUAAACAGCAACUACUGACAGGAAACAUCUUGGUGGAUUGAGUAACUUUGGGCUGGAAAUACUAAAGUAAUUUGCUUAAGAGCAUUCUGAACCUACAGUGUGAGUUUUCAACAAUCAUUGGAAAGCUGGGAAAAAUUCAGGAGACUCUGUGGGUAAGGGGAAAUGUUAAAAUUGUUUCGAUGUUUAGGAGAAGGUAAGUGGGAAGACUGAGAGCUAGGCCAGCCAAUGUAACUGCACUCUGCAACCUAUGCUCUGAGUCAACUUGUCAGAGAUUUUAUUUGGGAUGCUCUGGGGAGGAAGUGUGGUUGGGAUAAUAGUGGUUUUUUACUCUCUCUGUGUAGAGCAGGAAGGGAGAAACUUGCCACAGACUCUUCUAGAGGAGGUUGAAGCAUCAACAUGCUUCAAAGGUAUCCUUGCUGCUUCCUGUUGGAAAGGGAUUUCAGACUGUGAAUUUCAGUUUGAGACUGAAGCAUCUGUCCAAUGAUCCAUGAAGUCUGUCUGCAGGAGAACAAGAAUGAGCAGCUCAGAAAUCAAGGAGUUCAAAAUUUCCACUGUCUGUGUCAUGGCAGUGACUUGAGAUGCAUCCAUAAGAUUUCAAGUCUAUAAAUCUAUACAGUUUCAUUACCUUCUCAGUUUUUGUCUAUGUUAUUUAGCUGCAGUUUUUGUUAUGGACAUAUCUCUGACCAAAUUCUUAAGCCUGAUGACA